rnacentral:rRNA from 1 species
GAUGAACGCUGGCGGCGUGCUUAACACAUGCAAGUCGAACGGAAAGGCCUCUGCUUGCUGGGGUACUCGAGUGGCGAACGGGUGAGUAACACGUGGGUGAUCUGCCCUGCACUUCGGGAUAAGCCCGGGAAACUGGGGCUAAUACCGGAUAGGACAAUGGGUUGGAUGCUGUUGGGGAAAGUUUUUCGGUGUGGGAUGAGCUCGCGGCCUAUCAGCGUGUUGGUGGGGUAGUGGUCUACCACGGCGUCGACGGGGGGCCGGCGAGAGGGGGUGCGCCGACACAGGGGGUCUGAGACAGCGCACACUCUCCCGCGGGGCAGAACAGGGGAAUAUUUCACAAUGUGGGCAGGCGUGAGGCAGAGAAGCGGCGCGGGCGGGGACGGCGCUCGCGGUGUAAACACCUCUCGCGACGGACGCAGCGCUUUUGUGACGGUACCGGGAGAAGAAGCACCGGCUAACUACGUG